rnacentral:rRNA from 1 species
UACGUAGGGGGCGAGCGUUGUCCGGAAUUACUGGGCGUAAAGGGUGCGUAGGCGGGCUGUCAAGUCUGAUGUGAAAACUCGGGGCUUAACCCCGAGGUUGCAUUGGAAACUGUAUAUCUUGAGUUCAGGAGAGGAGAGCGGAAUUCCUGGUGUAGCGGUGGAAUGCGUAGAUAUCAGGAAGAACACCAGUGGCGAAGGCGGCUUCCUGGCCUGUAACUGACGCUGAGGCGCGAAAGCGUGGGGAGCAAACAGG